rnacentral:lncRNA from 1 species
AGGACACGUGUCAACUUUUGGCGGAAAUGAAUUAUUUGAUUUUAAUUUAAUUAAAUCAAAUAUUAAUUGAUGAAGACAAAUCAUGAGCCGGCCCAUAAAUCGAGUCCUAGUUCUUUCAUCAAUUAAUCAAGCCCACAAUCAAGGCCAAAUCCAUCUAUGGGCAAGGCUUGAAGAGUCUAUAAAUAGGAGGCUCUAAGACAAAGAAAAGGGGUCCAAAA